rnacentral:rRNA from 1 species
CUAACGGGACUGCCCGCGAAAGCCGGGGAGGAAGGAGGGGACGACGUCUGGUCAGCAUGGCCCUUACGGCCUGGGCGACACACGUGCUACAAUGCCCACUACAAAGCGAUGCCACCCGGCAACGGGGAGCUAAUCGCAAAAAGGUGGGCCCAGUUCGGAUUGGGGUCUGCAACCCGACCCCAUGAAGCCGGAAUCGCUAGUAAUCGCGGAUCAGCCAUGCCGCGGUCGAAUACGUUCCCGGGCCUU